ensembl:lncRNA
GGCUCCACCCCUCCUGGUCACUCAGGCACAUUGCGUGCACCUGAGCUCCCCAGGGCUGGCCCUGCCUUCCCACCAGAGACCAUAAAAACAACAAGAGAAAUAGUUGGCCAGGAAUGAAAAAUGAAGAUGGUUCUCACACUUCUGUAGCUGGCUGAUGUUCUUUCUCCAAUUACCAUGGAAAAUUACUUCAGUUGUGGAAAACCUGGGGCUAUAUUUCCCAGCUGGAGCCUCCCAGCGCUACCUGCCCUUUGCUGAUGGAGACAUGGAUUCCUCUCUGCUGUCUGACUGAUCUGAUAAAAACAACAGCCAGUGAUUAUCUAAUCUGAAGGUCAUGUCACACUCAAACAACUGGAGUAUCUACACAGUAGAUGGAAAUUCUGCUGUCACCACCCAUCAUGACAACCGUCGGCAAAAUAAAAGCAAUGCUACUGCCUGUCUUCCUGGCACAUCCCAAAUUGUCUGGAUGGUAAAAAUAAUUCUCAAGAACAAACAAAUAAAAAUCUGUAAAAAGUGGGUAGGCCAGUAAAUUUUCAGACAAGAAAGAAACAGAGGUCAAGAGGAACAGGAGCUACAGCAAUAACCAAAUCUUUGUAAUUGUGGAAUUUCAGCUACGUUCCAUUUAAGAAAGCAAGAAAUAAAGGCAGCCUAGCUC